AUACUACUCCCUCUGUUUUGAAUUACUUGUCGUAAGUAUGAAUGUAUCUAGAUGUAUUUUAGUCUAGAUACAUUCAUUUCUGCGACGAGUAAUUUGAAACGGAGGGGGUAGUAC
rnacentral:pre_miRNA from 1 species